GCGGGGCUGGGCGGGACUGGAACCGGCACUUGGCACCCCUUACGCCUUACGGUGGCCGCUGCGCCCAGUCACAUCUAUUGCAUUUCUCUGGAAUGACCACAGCAAUAUUUCCAGCCCUUGAUGAUCUUCUAGAACUUUGCCACUUCCCUGCAUCAAGAGGUAAAAUCCAUUUCUAUUCUCUUGAAUUGAACAGCUUCAAUGAAUUGAGUGCUGAAGAAUUAACACUCUGUGACUUCAUGACUUGUUGGAAAUUGUGAGGAAUCUCAGGCCACAUGGAGGGGCCAGUGAAGAUGUUCCAGCUUAUAGCCCCAGCUAAGGUUUCAACUAAUAGCCAGACUCAACCACCAGGUAUAUGAAUGAACCUUCAGAUGAUUCUAGUCUCCAGCCUUCAAGCUUCCCCAGUCGAUGCUGAGUGGAGCAAAAAAAGGAAUUAUUCUCACUGAGCCCUGUCCAAAUUGCAAAUACCUGACAAAAAUAAAUAUUGUUGUUUUAAGCCACU
rnacentral:lncRNA from 1 species